rnacentral:misc_RNA from 1 species
GAUGAAGAACGUAGCGAAAUGCGAUAAGUAAUGUGAAUUGCAGAAUUCCAGUGAAUCAUCGAAUCUUUGAACGCACAUUGCGCCCGCCAGUAUUCUGGCGGGCAUGCCUGUUCGAGCGUCAUUUCAACCAUCAAGCUCCCGGGCUUGCGUUGGGGACCUGCGGCUGCCGCAGGCCCUGAAAACCAGUGGCGGGCUCGCUAGUCACUCCGAGCGUAGUAAUACAUCUCGCUCAGGGCGUGCUGCGGGUUCCGGCCGUUAAAAAGCCUUAUUUACCCAAGGUUGACCUCGGAUCAGGUAGGAAGACCCGCUGAACUUAAGCAUAUCAAUAAGCGGAGGA